GCUCGAGAGCUUUGCUAGAAUCUUGAACAAAGAUUUGGUGGAGUCUCUCGCUCACAUAUUAAUCAACUCCGCACUAAUCUUCAAUCUAUGAAUAGCAUCAAGGAGGUUACAAAUGCUCUCACUACUGCUGGCGCACCAGCGGAUGAACAUGAUCUUCUCCUCAUUAUUCUAAGCGGUCUUCCUGAUGAAUAUGACUUGUUCAUGGAUUCUAUUCAAUUCCUCUUGGUUGACACAAGUAUUGAUGAUCUUCAUGGAUUUCUUCUCAGUAAAGAAAUGGCUCUUUCCAGAAAUAAGCACAAUCAAGAAGCAAAAUCAAAGUUCUUCUUCCCAUGAAUCGUAUCAAGCUUUCAAUUCUGUCCAGACAUCAAAUAAUCCUCCACUGCUACCUACACCAAAUGUUCCUUAGUUACAAGCAUACAACGCUUAAACUCAGCCAAACAGGAGCAAUUUUCAGAGGAACAAUUCUCAGCGCAAUUACUCGAAUCGCACCAAAUUCAAUCGCUACAACAAUAACAACCACGACGGACAUCGUGGUGGCAAUCGUGGUGGAACUUACUACAACAACAAUCGUACUUCUCCACACCUUGUUCCAUGUCAAAUCUAUGAGGAUCCAGGCCAUCUAGCAAUCAAUUGUUCAAAUCGUAUGAAUCCAAAUUUCCAAGGGCGCAUUCCACCUGCUAAGCUUGCCAUGUGUGCCAAUACUUCCACCUAUUCUUCCCCACCAUGGUUGAUGGACUCCGGUGUGAGCUCACACAUGACAAACAACGUUCAAAACUUGCAAAAUCCUUAGCCAUACACUGGUCCUGAUAAGGUCUACAUUGGAGAUGGCCAAGGAUCUUACUACAAGGAGGAUGCUUUAUAAAGGUCAUAUUCACAAUGGUCUAUAUCCCUUCUCAGUGUCUUCUCCAUCUACAAGACGGUUCUUUGCCAAUUCUGCAAUAAAAGUAUCUCCUCAAAUCUGGCAUCAGCGUUUGGGGCAUCCAACACUCAAGACUUUUCGAAAUGUUGUAUCAAAGUCUAUCUUGCCUACUACUAGUACUAUUAGUCAGUUUCAUUGUUUAGAUUGCAUAUUAGGUAAAUGUGUUAGAUUACCUUUUCAUGAUUCUCGUUGUACUACUUCUCGAGCUUUAGAACUAGUACAUGCUGAUGUUUGAGGACCAUCACCCUUACUCUCUGUGAGUAGUUAUAGAUUCUAUGUCAUUUUCAUUGAUGAUUUCAUGAAAUAUACUUGGUUUUAUCCUCUGAAGAAUAAAUCUGAUGUGUUUCAUACAUUUGCUUUGUUUCAAGCUCUUAUUGAAAACUUCUGUGGCAACAAAGUUGGCACUUUAAGAUCU